rnacentral:rRNA from 1 species
CCCUUAGAUGUUCUGGGCCGCACGCGCGCUACAAUGGUCUUCGCAAACGGAUGCAUUCUCGAAGGAGAAUGCCAAUCUUGGAAUCUAUGCCUUGGUCGGGACAGUUGCUUGCAAUUUUUCGACUCGAACCAGGAAUUCCUUGUAAUCGUGAUUCAUCACAUCACGAUGAAUACGUCCCUGCCCUUUGUACACACCGCCCGUCGCUCCUACCGAUCGAAGAGUUAGGUGAAUUGUUUUGAUCGAUAAGAUUUGACUAUGGUCAACUCUCGUUGUGAAAUUCUGUGAAUCUGACCGUUUAGAGGAAGGAAAAGUCGUAACA